UACCAGCACCCCGAGUGGUCUGGACGAUUAUUGGGCCUAAAGCAUCCGUAGCCGGUUCUACAAGUCUUCCGUUAAAUCCACCUGCUUAACAGAUGGGCUGCGGAGGAUACUAUAGAGCUAGGAGGCGGGAGAGGCAAGCGGUACUUAGUGGGUAGGGGUAAAAUCCGUUGAUCCAUUGAAGACCACCAGUGGCGAAGGCGGCUUGCCAGAACGCACUCGACGGUGAGGGAUGAAAGCUGGGGGAGCAAACCGG
rnacentral:rRNA from 1 species